rnacentral:rRNA from 1 species
CAGCAGCCGCGGGAAUACGGAGGGUGCAAGCGUUAAUCGGAAUUACUGGGCGUAAAGCGCGCGUAGGUGGUUUGUUAAGUUGGAUGUGAAAUCCCCGGGCUCAACCUGGGAACUGCAUCCAAAACUGGCAAGCUAGAGUAUGGUAGAGGGUGGUGGAAUUUCCUGUGUAGCGGUGAAAUGCGUAGAUAUAGGAAGGAACACCAGUGGCGAAGGCGACCACCUGGACUGAUACUGACACUGAGGUGCGAAAGCGUGGGGAGCAAACAGGAUUAGAUACCCCCGUAGUCCCUGUCUCUUAUAA